rnacentral:rRNA from 1 species
AACGAACGCUGGCGGCAGGCCUAACACAUGCAAGUCGAGCGAGGACUUCGGUUCUAGCGGCGGACGGGUGAGUAACGCGUGGGAAUGUGCCCUUCUCUACGGAAUAGCUCUGGGAAACUGGGAAUAAUACCGUACACGACCUUUUGGGGGAAGAUUUAUCGGAGAAGGAUCAGCCCGAGUUGGAUUAGGUAGUUGGUGUGGUAAUGGCCUAAUAAGCCCACAAUUCAUAGCUGGUUUGAGAGGAUGAUCAGCCACACCGGGACUGAGACACGGCCCAGACUCCUACGGGAGGGAGCAGUGGGGAAUCUUAGACAAUGGGGGCAACCCUGAUCGAGCCAUGCCGCGUGAGUUAUGAAGGCCUUAGGGUUGUAAAGCGCUUUCAACUGGGAAGAUAAUGACGGUACCUGCAGAAGAAGCCCCGGCUAACUCCGUG